UCCGGUUUGUCACCGGCAGUCACCUUAGAGUGCCCAACUGAAUGCUGGCAACUAAGAUCAAGGGUUGCGCUCGUUGCGGGACUUAACCCAACAUCUCACGACACGAGCUGACGACAACCAUGCACCACCUGUCACUCUGUCCCCGAAGGGAAAGCCCUAUCUCUAGGGUUGUCAGAGGAUGUCAAGACCUGGUAAGGUUCUUCGCUUUGCAUCGAAUUAAGCCACGCGCUCCGCCGCUUGUGCGGGCCCCCGUCAAUUCCUUUGAGUUUUAGCCUUGCGGCCGUACUCCCCAGGCGGCGGACUUAAUGCGUUAGCUUCGGCACGGAGCGCGAUGAAGCGCCCCACACCUAGUCCGCACCGUUUACGGCCAGGACUAC
rnacentral:misc_RNA from 1 species